ACNUGCGGAAGGAUCAUUACCGAUCUGACGUCGUCGCACAGACGCACACCGCGAACCGUUCUAACCGGUGGGGGUCGCCCCGAACGGGGCGUCAAACGAUGGCAUGGCCACGGCCCCCACCUUGACUUUUCCAUUCUUAAACACCUCGACUUGCAGAAAUCCCUUCGUGUUUAAUCACGAAGAAAACAUGAGUAAAAGAUCACAACUUUUAACGGUGGAUCUCUUGGCUCGUGCAUCGAUGAAGAACGCAGCCAGCUGCGAUAAGUAGUGUGAAUUGCAGAAUUCAGUGAAUCAUCGAAUCUUUGAACGCAAAUGGCGCUCUUGGGUUUUCCCAGGAGCACGUCUGUCUGAGUGUCGGUUUCCAAAUUCAACCACGCGCUGUGGCGCGGUCUUGAGGCGUCGCGGCCCCCAUUAUCACCGGGCGGCCUCGUCCCUCCAAAUGGAGCACGACCGAUCCGGGCGGCUCACGUUGCCACCUCGGCCAGGCCAAAAAAUGCUUUGCCCUGCACCGAAGGCAGUGUCGCGCCUCCCAAACCGGUCGCGGUCGGCCGACAUUCCAACCUCGACCUCAGAUCAGGCGAGACUACCCGCUGAAUUUAAGCAUAUUAAUAAGCGGAGGAAAAGAAACUAACAAGGAUUCC
rnacentral:rRNA from 1 species